rnacentral:rRNA from 1 species
GUCGAGCGGAAUGACGAGAGCUUGCUCUCUGAUUUUAGCGGCGGACGGGUGAGUAACACGUGGGCAACCUGCCCUACAGAUGGGGAUAACUCCGGGAAACCGGGGCUAAUACCGAAUAAUCAGUUUGUCCGCAUGGACAAACUCUGAAAGACGGUUUCGGCUGUCACUGUAGGAUGGGCCCGCGGCGCAUUAGCUAGUUGGUGGGGUAAUGGCCUACCAAGGCAACGAUGCGUAGCCGACCUGAGAGGGUGAUCGGCCACACUGGGACUGAGACACGGCCCAGACUCCUACGGGAGGCAGCAGUAGGGAAUCUUCCACAAUGGACGAAAGUUUGAUGGAGCAAUGCCGCGUGAGCGAAGAAGGUUUUCGGAUCGUAAAGCUCUGUUGUAAGGGAAGAACACGUACGGGAGUAACUGCCCGUGCCAUGACGGUACCUUAUUAGAAAGCCACGGCUAACUACGUGCCAGCAGCCGCGGUAAUACGUAGGUGGCAAGCGUUGUCCGGAAUUAUUGGGCGUAAAGCGCGCGCAGGCGGUUCUUUAAGUCUGAUGUGAAAGCCCACGGCUCAACCGUGGAGGGUCAUUGGAAACUGGAGAACUUGAGUACAGAAGAGGAAAGCGGAAUUCCACGUGUAGCGGUGAAAUGCGUA